rnacentral:rRNA from 1 species
AAUCAACGCUGGCGGCGUGCCUCAGACAUGCAAGUCGAACGAUUAAAGCUCUCUUCGGAGAGUGCAUAAAGUGGCGCACGGGUGAGUAACACGUAAGUAAUCUACCUUCGAGUGGGGAAUAACGUCCGGAACGGACGCUAAUACCGCAUAACGCAGCGGCAUCGCAAGAUGACAGUUGUUAAAGAUUUAUCGCUUGAAGAGGAGCUUGCGGCAGAUUAGCUUGUUGGUAAGGUAACGGCUUACCAAGGCUACGAUCUGUAACCGGUCUAAGAGGACGGUCGGUCACACUGACACUGAAUAACGGGUCAGACUCCUACGGGAGGCAGCAGUCGGGAAUUUUGGGCAACGGGGAACCGUACNCCAC